rnacentral:rRNA from 1 species
UACGUAGGCAGCGAGCGUUGUUCGGAGUUACUGGGCGUAAAGCGUGCGUAGGCGGUGUCUUAAGUUUGUUGUGAAAUCUCCCGGCUUAACCGGGAGGGUGCGGCGAAUACUGAGAUGCUGGAGUGCCGGAGAGGUAAGCGGAAUUCCUGGUGUAGCGGUGAAAUGCGUAGAUAUCAGGAGGAACACCUGCGGUGUAGACGGCUUACUGGACGGUAACUGACGCUGAGGGACGAAAGCGUGGGUAGCAAACAGG